CUUUUUCCUCUUAGGAUUCUUGGGGCAAGGUUCUUAUUGGGGACAUGGAGUUGAAGAGGGUAACGGCUUGUACCAGGUACAUUCUUACCACAGUGGAUCUGGACACAGGUGUGUCAUGAGCAGGAAGGAGCCACUGGAAACACUAAAGAGUUACCGCCAGUGUGACCCUUUGCAAGUAAAGUUAUAUGGAAACUCGCCCCUCUUUGGACAGUAUUAUGUUCUGGAGAAGCCAGGGACAGUCCAAGUGGGAAACCCUGUGUUCUUGCUGGGCCCGGUGGGAGCCAGAUGGUU